AGAGUUUGAUCCUGGCUCAGGACGAACGCUGGCGGCGCGCUUAACACAUGCAAGUCGAGCGAGAACCGGAGCUUCGGCUCCGGGGACAGCGGCGAACGGGUGAGUAACACGUGGGUAAUCUGCCCUCGGCACCGGAAUAGCCCGGGGAAACCCGGAUUAAUGCCGGAUGGCCCCUCCGACCUUCGGGACGGCGGGAAAAGGUAGCUUAGGCCUCUGGCCGAGGAUGAGCCCGCGGCGGAUUAGCUUGUUGGUGAGGUAAUGGCUCACCAAGGCGACGAUCCGUAGCUGGUCUGAGAGGACGAUCAGCCACACUGGGACUGAGACACGGCCCAGACUCCUACGGGAGGCAGCAGUGGGGAAUCUUGCCCUAUGGGCGAAAGCCUGAGGCAGCGACGCCGCGUGCGGGAAGAAGGCCUUCGGGUUGUAAACCGCUUUCAGGAGGGACGAAGCUACUCGGGUGAAUAGCCCAGAGGGUGACGGUACCUCCAGAAGAAGCCCCGGCUAACUACGUGCCAGCAGCGGCGGUAAUUC
rnacentral:rRNA from 1 species